rnacentral:tRNA from 1 species
GCCGUUGAUCGUGUUCGGCUGCACCGAUCUGACUCUUAAUCAGCGGGUUCGGGGUUCGAGUCCCUGAUGGCGCA